GCUAGUGAAUUUCAGAGAGGUUGGGGGAAGUACAUUUCUAAAAACCCAGUAAAAUCUUUAACUAGACUUAAGAGAGAGAAAGACCAAGCUAAACAAUGCGUGAAAACUCAAGCAAUCAUUGCUGGGCAGUUACUGUGCUCAUUUUGAGGUUCAUUUUGGGAUGAAGACUGCAGUGAUUCUCAGCACCUAUCUCCAACUCCUUCAAUUCUACAUAAAUCUAUCUGGAAUUACCAACAGUACAACAACGGAUCAGGUUUGUUUCAUAACAUAUGGCAACAUGAGAUUCUGUGGGGCUGUUUCUCAACUCUGCCGUAUAUCGGAUGCCCCAGCCUGAAGUGGACAGAACCAUUGCAGCAGCAAUGGCUGUUGUCCGUGUUCAUCUCCUUAGUCUGCCAGCCCUGUGUAAGCACCUUUGUAUGGCACCAGAGGCACUUCUUGUCCCACCAGGGUAGAGAACUCACUCGUUCUGAUCCCCAUCACCCUUCAGGACAUGCCUGGGAGCACACAGCUGGUGGAAGAUGUAGCUCACGGUGUGGUAGGCCUGAGGCUUGUUCUUGUGUGACCAUAGGGGAGCCCACAAGGACAAGGCCCACAAGGCCCACAAGCUCUGUGAUGGUUGUAGUUACACACUGAAGCCUAGAGGCCGAAGAGACUUCAGGUUGUGACACUCAGCUUUUCUAACGCUGACGUCCACCAGGAUCCUCCAGUUCUGCUUCUGGGUGUGCUCAGAAGCACUUCUCACCUCAUAGCACUAAGCUUGGUGCCCGCCUCCCUAGGAUUGAGAAACAGCAUGUCACUUGGCUACCUGAAGGGCCUGAUCCACUAGGUGUAUCAAAAACAUGCCUAACCUACCAUGUUUCAUCCAGAGGAGUGGAGAGAAGACAAGAAGAGGGUUGUUGUGACGGUGUUUGCAUCCCAUCUCUUCUCCCUACUUGUGUUUGUCUAACAGUUUUGUACUGAAAGCUUUCUCCCCAUGAUCUGGGAGAUGUAGUUUCAACACACUCCGCGAAUCUUGCUGAUUUAGUCUGUACCCUCCUGGUAAAAGAGGAAUAACAGACCUGCUUCACCCCACAGUCAUUCUGCCCUGCAGACGCUCACCCACAGGCCAGUUUUGCAGAGCGGCCCAUGACCAUGCUGUUAAGAGCUGAGCAGAUGUGCUGCUGCCAUGCUGUGUUGUGCUCAGCUCAGGUCCUCUCUUACGACCCUGUGGCUAGCACUCAUUAUUUUCUGUGCAUGGCUUUGGUGGUAUUUUUUUCAGUUCAAGGCAUGCAGAAUAAUAACAGCUUUAUACAGCAGGCCAGCAGAGCAGCGCUGGGUUAAAAACAUUACCAUGCCAGAAAAAAAAUUGUUGUGUGUCUUAGGAAAAGGAUGGGGGGAGAGGACAAAUAAUGCUACAGCCUAAAAUGGAAUUAUGUUGAAACACUGUUCUGGUUGGAAGGAAAUACAUUUGGUGUCUUCCACAUUUAUCCUGUCUGUCUGGAGCAAACCCUGGAGUGAUCUACACAGCUGACUACAUUCAGGUUUCCCCUUGGGAUACCAACUGAUUUGUUCCAGAAGAGAGCUCAAACACUAAUUGCCACAGGCAGUAUGAGUGGCCAGGAAACCUGUCCCUGGAGCAAAACAGGAGCGUGCCAAGCUGCUAGUACAGACACACCAUUUUUAGCAAUAACCUUACUGCUUUGAUAGGGUCCGUGGAGUUCAGAAGGGAUAUCUCUGCUAAGCUUGCUCCACCAAGGCAAAGCACCAACCAGAACAUCAAAAAACAGGUAGAACAAAGUGCUGUACAGAAGCCCUCAGUGGGUGGUAAGGCCAAAUAAGUAACAACAACGUUCAUUUUCUCACUACUCCUCUCUCUCACCCAGGUGGGUGCUGCAUUUGUAGGGUGAUGCCUGGAAGUGUAACGCUGCCUGUCACUGCAGAAGAAGACCGGGGCUCACAGUUUGCCAUCCUUCUCUCCUUUGUCAGCAAUUUGGUGACCAGUUUUAGUUCUAACACAGGUACAACCGAUAGAUGGAGGGGUGUCUCCCAUGCCUCUGUUGUUGUAGCUCUCCUUGACUGCAACUGCUCUCUGCAGAAGCCCAGCUGCCACUAUGUUUUCCUGACUGCCUUUAAUAUGAUUGUCAAGGACAGAAAAUAUUAAUUAAAUUUUAAUUGAUAAAGUGAAUACUAUUGGGUUAAUUAUAGCUAUUUACAGGGAGCGUAUGGGAUUUGGAGGGCCUACCUUCUGGUGUUUUUGCACACAGUGUUGCCUCUUCCUCUAUGCUCUAAUUAGCUCUUUUUUUUUUUUUUUUUUAAUAGCCAGUCUCCCCAUGAUUGCUCAGUAGCUCCCAUUUUGUUCCUCAUCAUCAGUUCUCCAGCACAGCUGCUACAGAAGGGAAGCAGCCUUGCAGUUUGCCUUGCAGGGAGCAGGUGAUAAAGAAUCUAUCAGAAGUUGUAUAAACCAAAAACAGGACCAAAAAAAAAAAAAAAAAAAAAGAGAGAGAGGCCCAGACCCCAGACCAGUCUCUGAUAAUGUCUAGAAAAGGGACUAUAUAAGAAACUAAGGAUACAUGGGCAGAAAUAAGAAGGAACAGCAACAUCUGAGGUAGAAGCAAGGUCAAAAUUCUCCUCUACAUAUACAGCUCUCUUGUCCAGUUGCACGUUCUGCCUUCCUGCACAUGCAUAACACCAGGCAUUAUCAACAGGAGACAAGCACGUGGGAAAGGGCAGAGUGCCACAGUAUAAAGUCAACUGCACAAUUCUGAAUGAUUUCUCCUCUACUCCUUACUUGCAACACAUGCAUUUCUUCCUUAGUGGUAAACCUUUUAAAAAAUGUAAAUGGACUUAAUUAUUUGCAUAUGAAAACCAGUUACUUUUAGCCACAUGGUGUAUAUCUAGAAAGUGCAAGGGUCCUUUCAGCACAUUGUUGAAUUGAAGGCACACAGUAAACAUAAUGUGCCCUGAUACCAGGAGUUCAUUCCAGUCCAUUUUUCAGUUUCAUGCCACUGUGUGAAAAUUAAUAGCACCCAAGAAACAACGCACAAGAGACCUUAGAACUUCAUGGGUUAUUUUUGGUUCUUUCUUUCUUUGUCUUCCUUCCUUCCUUCCUCUUUUUUUUUUUUUUUUGAUCAAAAAUUAUCAACUUGACCAGCAGGCAGCCUGCUGCUCUCCCUCAAGUAGAUCUCCUCCUGUUUGCCAGUGCUCAGGAUUGAACGGCUGCCACCGAGGGAACAGAGGGCAGCGGCUGGAGGCUGAGGAGCAGCAGCGGCACAGCAGCCAGCUCCCUCUGCCAGGCGGCAGCUGGCCUGGUCGCCUGCCUUCCCCUUCCCAUGGCAGCAGCUGGCUCUGCGUGGUAGGCACAGGGGCCCACACUUGGCUCCUGCUGAGGUGAGACAGCGUGAAGAAAAGAGGAAGAAAGAGGGUUUUUUUUGUAAACAACAGCAAUCACGCUAGGAAAGGAAAAUGGGGAAAGAUGUGACAACAUGGAAGGCAGGGUAUACAAAAAAAAUGCACGGGUCUGUGGUUUCUGAGGUUGGAAAAUCAUUGCCUAAAUUAAGAAAGCUAUCUUCCAUCUCAAGAAAGGAAAUGUAAAAGCCAGAAUGUCUCUUGCAGAAAAGUUUAACUUGUCUGGCUUCUCAAAUGUACUUGAAAUUUUUAUCCACUUCCCUUUGCAGUAAAGUAUUUUCACUGCCCAGGGGCAUGGAGCUGAGCGCUCUUCAGCACCAAGGGGUCUUGCAGCCAGCCCAGCAGGCACUUUCCCAGAACCAUAGAAUCUUAAAAUGGUUUGGGUUGGAAGGGCCUUAAAGAUCAUUUAAUUCCACCCUUCCUGCCUUGGUCAGGGACACCUCCCACCAGACCAGGUUGCCCAAGGCCCCAUCCAGCCUGGCCUUGAACACCUCCAGGGAUGGGGCAUCCACAGCUUCUCUGAUCAACCUGUGCCAGUGCCUCACCACCCUCCAAGUAAAGAGUUUCUUCCCAAUAGCUAAUCUAAAUAUCCCCUUUUAGUUUAAAGUCAUUAGUUCCUGUUUUAUCACUACACUCCCUGGCAGAGUCCAUCCCCAGCCUUCCUGUAGGCCCCCUUUAGGUAUUGGAAGGUUGCUGUAAAUUCUCCCCAGAGCUUUCUCUUCUCCAGGCUGAACAACCACAAGUCCCUCAGCCUGUCUUUGUAAAAGAGGUGCUCCAACCCCUUGAUCAUCUUUGUGGUCCUCCUCUGGACUCUAUCCAAUAGGUCCAGGUCCUUCUUGUGCUGGGGCCCCAGAGCUGAACGUAGUACUUUGCUGAAAGUACCUGAUUACAGGGCCAAAACUCCGCUCUACAUCUGCCCUUCAAAGCCACAGAAAUUCCCUCCAAAUGGAGAAGAUGGCUUCUUUUACUAUUUAGAAGCAAUUAUUACCUCAGAAAUGCUUGGCGGGUGGCUUCUUCCUUUCUCAGUGUGAGAUAACUCAUACUGAGAUAACUCAACUGGUAGCACCAACAAAUACACCACAAAGCACUCUCUACUAACUUAUCUGCAGUACCUACAGAGCACAAGUACCUGCUUGAAGACAUCCUUUGUUUAAAAAAAAAAAAAAAUAAUGGUAUAUUCAGACUGGUUUUUCUCCACAUUAAUGGCAAGACUAAUUUUGCAAUGAGGUUGCAGAGACACCACUGCUGAAAGCAUUUGGUCCCCCCAGUUCGUGCCACGAGAUCCUGUCACAUCUGUGGCUGUCACCAUCCCCUGAGCAGCUACCCGUGGGGUCAGAGGUCUGGGCAGACACAAGGAGGGCAGGGUUUUGUCCCCCUAGGCUAAAGGGGAAAGCUGAGCCACAUCCUUGCCCGCGGUGUGAGGGCUGCCGCUGCCACCUGCUGGAGACCAUGUGUGGGCGGUAUUCCUCCCCUCCGGAUGGAGGCAAUAAUGUCAGAAGGUGCCUUCAUUUCACUCCCCUUGCACCCCUUUUACAUCCCUGUGUAAGUAACAAAGAUCUGGGACUCAGGGGGAGAGCUGUGACCAAGGCAGCCGCAGCAAGCACUGGCUGCAGGCAGGAUUUACGAAAGUGCCCGGCCAUCCGGCCUUUUUCUAUUGAAAAGUACAUAACAAGCAGCAAGGCAAAAUGCUCCCCACCCUUGGCAUUUCCUCUUAUCCAAAUGUAGAACAACCAAGCAUGGAAAAAGGAGAGAAGUGGCUGUGAUACUCAGCUGAAGAGACAUCUGUGGGUUUUAUGGUAGGGAGGAUGAGUGGGAGCACGCAAGGGCCCUCGCUGACACCAGUGGAACCAUCUCAAGGGUUCAGAAAUAUUAAUUUCAGUAAGUACUGGCCUGCAGACAGGGGUCUGACUGGUCUUGCUGUCUGACUAGGCUUAAUGGCCAUGUUUGAAUGCAGACAUCUUGCAGCCUUGCCAUUUGUGUCGAUGGCAGUCGUGUUCUCAACGGGAAUUGCUCUCUUGGAAAUCCAAACCACAAACUGUUGAGUGUGGUUAUACCACAGGCAUUACUGAGAGCAAGACUAAGGUUAGGGAGGCCAUCUCAUUUCUGAAGGAAUCCAAAAUUACAUCUCCAGUGAACAGCAGCUGCAGCUCUGCCUGUGUCUUACAGCUGCAGACUGGGACCUGAGCACUGUCAUCUAAGUGACAAACAGGAUGCGAUGCAUUCACUGAGCACGUCCUCAAAACCCGCCGGCAACAACUUUCAGGGUGCAGAGGAGACGUCUUCAAGGAAUGCUUUAAAGACCACAAUUAGGAGCAGCAGACCAAGAAGAGCUGGUGUUGGAAAGAAAUGUCUGAAUUGGUAGAAAGCAAAAAGGAGCCAAAAGGAAGAGACAUGGGGAUGAUGCAGAAGGAAGGUAGCAAUGAAAAGUUACAGGCUAUGGCCAGCAGCACUUCAGGGCUCCUGAAGACUUGUCCUUUUGCCCCAAACUAAGCUGGAGUGUAAAAAAAAAUGUGGAUUCUAUGGAGUUUGAAGCUGCCAAAUGCUUGCAGCAGUCACAAACAUGCAGCACCUAUAACAACGUGCCUCAACUUAGGGGCAGCUUUUUUAGGGAUUAUUGUAACAUGGGACACUGGUGGUACAGGCUAUAUGCCUGGCAAAAUGCCCAGGUAAUGCCGCGUGGUUUACACCGGGAACCUAAAUGACGUAAGUAUUAUAAGGAAGCUGCUCCUCUUCUAUACUGCAAAUGAUAAUUAUUUUCAUGUCAGAGACCACAGCACAGCAGCGAUGUGGAGUCAGGGUAAGGUCCCAUAAGGAAAGGGUACAGCAGUGGUGGAGUAACAUAUUUAUUUCAGCAGCUGGAGGGAAUGUGAGCUACUUGAAUUAUUUUUUCAUUACAUUUAUUUUAAAUCUGUCAAGCCUUCCUUUAAUACGCACGUGGUUCAAUGAUAGAUACCAACUGUGCAGUGGUAUUAAGGCCGCACCGUGGCUGUGAUAUUGCCGUGUUAGGGUUAUGUAACUCACUCUCAGACGGUGACCCAUCUAGGCUGCCAGUUUUUAUAGUCAGACUUCAUUUCUCCAUUUCAUCUUAGUUGCUGAGUAGCUAGCCCAGAAAUAUGUAGUUACUGUUUUUUUUUGUUUGUUUGUUUUUUUAAGCAAUAACUUAAAUGGAUUUUUUUAAAUGUAGAUUUUUAAAAAUAGCAAUAAGUUAUUUUCCAGCACUGCAUCAUCUGAGCAAUUGAUAAUAACAGCAGUUUACUCUCAUCAAACUCUAAUGCCUACAGCUGCUAGGCCUUACCUCCCACAGCUCUCCAGGAAGGACACUGACAACUCCUCCCUGAAAUAGGCUUCGGCAGGGUCUGGAAUUCUGAGCCCUGUGAAAGGGUUCAAUAAAUAGGUGCCCUGCUCUUUAGCACCAAUACUUGACAGUGUUGUAUGCUUUAUAACAAAGGGGGUCAAGUGAAACCCUUUCACUCUCUUAGGCUACAACACUGAGGAAGUAGCAAAAUCUGUACAUACACAUUUUAUAAUUUCCUGUCUGUAUUGAUUUUAAAAGCAUCUUUAGCAUGCAAGCAGCUGUUUAAUGUAUUUUGACCCCAAACCAGGGCAUUUGCAUUAGUAUUCCCUCUAGAACGUUUGUCCUUUCGUGUCCAUGCAUUAAGGCCCUGUUUAAAAUCUGUCCAUGUCCCUAAUCUCUCUGGGGAGCUUUCCCUGAAUAUUCAAUGCUAGUCCACAGUCUGCAACAAAAGAGGGAGGGAAAAGAGACAGAGAGCAGUGUUUAUGCAUGAAGUUCAACAGCCUUUUCACGUAAAAAACAUACGUACACACAAAAGCACCUCGACUACAGAGCCUGGCAUUUCCACAGCAAAGUUCUGACAGCGUGUGCAGUUUUUCAAGUUAACUAAUUUACAAUAAGGGCAUAAGGCAUCUGAGCUCCAGAUGCACUCAUUCAGACAGCCAGAGCCAUAAAUAAAAUCGAAAAGAAUGCUCUCACUCCAGCAUGGGUUUUACAGAGAUGUGUUGAAGGUCUAGCAGAUGGGUCUUGCUGUCUCAGCUUUUACCUGGGUAACAAAGUAAAUGCAUAAGGCCACUUACUGGCUCCUUCAAUUCAAAACCUUUGCGUUUGCUCCCAUAUGCUCCUGUGAAGAUACAGCUAAUUUAAACAGUGAGCAAAAUCCUACCCCCCAGGGAAGCUGAUGGCAAAACUCCCGCUGCCUCCAGCAGGCUCUGGAUGUUGCUCAACAGAAAUGCAACUGGACGAGCUUUGACUAACAGCAUAACAAAUACUGUAAUCAAAUUUGUAUUCUUUCAUCUACAGAUUUGCCACCCCAAUGCUGCCCCUGAUGCUGCUGUUGCCCUGUGGUUCUUGUCGACAACCAAACUAGCUACAGAGCUGCUGCUGCUCAGGCUGGGCUCACUGCAGCCUCUGACCAUGCUCACAAGUAGCUCACUUCCGUGGAAGGAUGAGAAAUCCUCUUCUGAAUUUGAACAAAACAUCAAGGCAAUUUGUCAAGCAGUAACUUUGUUUUGCUCAGUCUGUGUGCUUUUCUAAUGAAGUUCUUAUACAGGAGAAAACUGGAAUUCUGCAUUUGAAAGAGAGCGUACCAGCGCUGAGUCCAGUGCGGUUUGGUACUGCUUAUUUUCUUCGUCUUUCAACUAGAAGACUCAGUAGUAGACCAGCUGUUCAUAUAGAGUCUGCUCCAAAACUACUGGAAAAAAUCUGGACUCUUUCCACUGACUUCAACAGACUUUGGAUCAGGCUCACAGAAAGUCGGAGAAUACAUUUCAUGAAGAAAAGGCCAGAUUCAUUUCAGGUGCCCAUCCACUAAGUCAACGCCACAACGCCAGCAGCGAAUUUAAUCUGGACUCUGCCCAGUUAGCCUCAUUACAACUGAGAUUUGCCUAAACUGGAGGCUAAUAAGUCAAAACGGCUAAUGGAGAGACCCAGAACACACCAGAACCUACACAAUGGGAGCAUCAGGAUGUCCAAGGCCACGGGGACUGGGGGCUGCCACCUCUCUCUUUUGGCAGCAGCAAACUGUGAAAUUGUCUCAGGGUGUCUUGUGGAAGUACUACAUUACUGCAAGUACUUGUCAUUAGAGGGAAAAGGGAAAUCAAAGGAAGAAGUGGAAUAAGUAUGAAUCCUGAUCAAUGUUGUUUUGGAGGAGUGUGGAUAUAAGGUGGCAAGCGUUAGGGGUAGGAAUCCCCCGUGCCUACAGAGGAUUUCAUGGGCAGCAAACAGCAAGUGCCUAUGCAGCAGCUGCAGCACACCCAGGAACGAGCGGAUGUAUAAUCUACAUGUAAAUAACUGCAUAGUUCCCUUCUGAAAGUAUGGGGCAGACUGCACAGUCCUAGUAGCUGCACAACAUGUUUACAGCA